rnacentral:lncRNA from 1 species
CAAAGACCUCUCCAAAAGCUCGCCUUUUGUGGCUACAUUUGGGCAUCUGGAUAUGCUUGGCCUCUUGGGUUUCCAUGCAAGUUUUAACUUGUCCACCUGUGCCAGUGUUUCCAGUUGAUUGAUUAUUAACUGCUCACUGGUACUUGGAAAGGCAUAAUAAAUGCUUGAAUUUUUUUCUCUUUAUUUACCAAUUCUCCACAUAAUGAAUGAUUCUCUAUCAUCUUCCCAAAGUAAACUACUAGCUUUUUUCCCCAAGUAUCUAAGCUCAUGGAUUUAAACAUAUUUUUUGAUCUGUUUUAAUACAUAGCAAUUAGUGCCCUUAGUGAUGUUCAAAUUGUCCAUCCUUGGCCAUCUGUCAAGUUCUAAUAUAUAAUAGUUUCAUUAUCAUUCACUACACAGUAUUCUAAAAUUCCUAUUAUCAUUUCUCCUUUCAUCAUGCAUUAUUUAAACUUAUGGUUUUCUUCUAAAUUUUCAAGAAUGUGAAAUAUUUUUCUCUUAUUUUAAUUUAAUUUUUAUUGGCAUCUUACUUAAUUGCAUCGUGGUUCAAAGAUUCUUGUCAUUUGAUACCGAUAUUUUGAAAUUUGCUGAGAUGCCUUAUGUCCACGUGCAGAGGUCUACAAACUUUUUCUGUUAAAGGUCAGAUAGUAAAUACUUUAAGCUUUGUGAGCCAUAUUUUCUCUUCACCUUAUCAAUUUUUACUUUAUAUAAUUUAAUAUUAUUUUAUUAGGUGCACAUAAAUUUAGAAUUUUUACAUCUUCUUGGUGAAUUUGGCUUUUAAAACACUGUUAUGGGUGCCCCCCUUUAUACUUAAUAACUUUUUAGUCAUAACAUCUAUUAUUUCUAAUAAAAAUCUAGCCAUAUCAGCUUUCUUUUGGUUAAUAUUUGCCGGUUAUUUCUUUUUUUGUCUUUUUAUUUUCAAGCUUUACUUGUUCUAAGUUUUGGUGGAUCUCUUCUGAACAUCACACAACUAGAUUUAAAAAAUCCUUUCUCUCAUUAUCUGCUUUUUUGACUUAUGAGUAUACUCCAUUGGUGUAUUGUGAUUGUAGACUUAUCUGGACUUGUUUAUGCCAUGUCAUUUUAAAUUUCUAUUUGUCGCACUUUUUCUAUGGUUUUUUUUUUCUCGUUUUAUGUGAGAGAUAGUCGCGAUUGGCAAAUAUUCCUUGCACUGCCCCACAGGAACAUUCGAAUUUAGGAGAAGCAACAUGAGUAAUCCUGAGGAUAGGAAUGAAAGUGACAUGUCACUCCUGAUCCAAAGCUGGAAAGAGUGGGUUUGAGUUCUCCAUGUGUUCCUUUACCCGGCUGCAACGAUGUACAGCAUACCCGACAGCGACGCCUUCAUCAGUAAACUUCUAUCACUCAAGAUUGAAUCCUCAUCUUGUAUCAGAAUCAGCCAGCUGUCGGCCAAAAUUUGUGAUCCUGUGCAGAGAAUUGAGUUGUCACUGGAAGCAGCUACCCAGACAAGGACUAGAUUUUCCCAUUCCUCCUGCACCAGAAGUUGUCUUCCUUCCGAUGCCAACCUGUGGAAUGUGUUGCCUUGAGACUAGUUCUCACCAACAGAGUAUGAGUAGAAGUGAGCUGUGUCACUUCUGGGCCAGACUCCUUAAGAUUCUGCAGUGGAGGAUGGAGAAAAUUAAGAUUGUAUGUUUUCAAAUGACCCAAUAAACCCAAUGCUGCCUUGGACAAUCACUUCCCAGCCUAAGAAAACAUGCACUGAAAGCAAAGUAAAACAGUAACACUUUUUAAAAGAUAUGACUUCAGCUUCCAACCCUACUUCAGAACUUGGUGAGCUAGUGUGCGUCCUGAGAAGAAUAUCCUUAACCUAAACUAAGCUGACUUGAAUAGCUCUUAGAAUAAUAGCCGCAAAUAGGUUUCAUUUUAUUUGCCAACUCUAAUAAAUUGGUAGUGGCUUCUUGAAGUUCUAUACCAUCAAGGAUUCUAAGACUGAAGGAGAAUUCAGUGGGACAGCAUAUCACGAUGUAUUAACAACGUCUGUCAUGGGCUUGAGAAUGGAUUAUGGUGGAGAUAUUUGACAUUUCCUGACCUAAAACCAAAGCAAGUCAAGAAGACUCUUCUACCUAAUUCUAUCCCAAAGACUGAACUUAAGAUCUUACCACUAUAAAGAGAUGAAAGGCAGUACUUAUCAUUUAAAAUAAAAGCAGACACUUUGCAAGAAAAGGUAAA